rnacentral:rRNA from 1 species
UACAGAGGGGGCAAGCGUUGUUCGGAAUUACUGGGCGUAAAGGGCGCGUAGGCGGAUUGUUAAGUCGGGGGUGAAAUCCUGGAGCUCAACUCCAGAACUGCCUUCGAUACUGGCGAUCUCGAGUUCGGGAGAGGUGAGUGGAACUGCGAGUGUAGAGGUGAAAUUCGUAGAUAUUCGCAAGAACACCAGUGGCGAAGACGGCUCACUGGCCCGAUACUGACGCUGAGGUGCGAAAGCGUGGGGAGCAAACAGG